rnacentral:lncRNA from 1 species
CCCCCCCCCCCCCCCCCCCCCCCCCCCCCCCCCCCCCCCCCCCCCCCCCCCCCCCCCCCCCCCCCCCCCCCUUUUAUGGCUUGCGGACUUCAGGAGCCACAACUCCUUUAGUUAAUGUUUGUAGUGAGAAGCAGACCAUGCUGCAGUACUGUGCAGGAAUUCACCGAAUCCCAGGAUGGGUCAGGCUGAAGGGACCACAGUGGGUCACUGGUGCCAUCUCCAUUCUCCAGCAGGGACAGCCCAGAGCACAGGGCACAGAAUUGUGUCCAGACAAUUCUGGAAUAUCCUCAGUGAGGAGACUCCACACCCUCUCUGGUCUCUGUCCAGUGCUCAGUCACUGCACAGGACAGAAGUUGUGCCUCCUGUCAGUGGAACCCCCUGGGCUCAGUCCCUGCCCGUGGCUCUGGUGCCAUGGCUGGGCCCCCGGAGCAGAGCCUGGCCCUGCUCUGCCCCUCCCUGCACACAGGGACACCCAGGGCUCAGGCCCCUCUCACCCCCAACAGCACACAUUUCCACAAGAAAAUCACCACCAAUUUAACAGUAAAAAACCCCCACCCUCGUUGUACAGAGCAUUCUGGAAGCCCUUUCUGCCCAGGCCAUUGCAGCUUCCCCAUGCUGCCAGGGCUCUGCUGGCUUGCCCAGCUGGAAAAGGACACGGUUGCCAGAGAGGCUGCAGCCCAGCCUUGGUGGCCAAAGGGGCUCGGGGGGCUGCACAAACUGACUUUGCUCCAGUUCACUGCCCAAAACCAAGGACCAGCCCAUCAAACCACGCAUCCAGUAUCAGAUGGAAGCAUUCACUUCUAAGGAGGAUGUCUGCAUUUCCUGCUCACCUUGUCUAAACAGAGGAGACUCCUGGCAGAAGCUGAGCAUUUUGUGCAUUUGAAAAUUGUCUGAUUGGAAAGGUUUUAAUCUCACACCUCCACAGCCUCCCUGUUGGAUGAAGUUGCAGAUAUAUGGGCCACUCCAGGGAGGCAAACUGAACCAACCAGAGGCUUAUACAACAGGCAGCAUUGAUGUUUGUUUUCUCAAGAGAAGAGGAGAGUGCUUUCCAGCUGCAGGAGAAAAGGGGGAAGAGAAGAAUGCCUUUAACUGUUUUAAUACAAUCAAUGUAGAUGGGAGCAAGCCAAAAUCCAGGCAGGGACCCCCCCCAGGGCUUUAGCAUGAAGCUAUAUGAAAGUUUGGACCCAAAGCGGUGGGUUUGCUUCUUAUCUAUCUAAUAGACAAGGGGAAAAAAAAACCAACAACACAAAACAACCAUUCCAGACAUUUUUAUGUUUAAAAUCCAACUCUGAUUUUUGAAUCCCAUCUGUAGCUGGAGUAUUUCUAAUAAACUUAUCUCAAGCUUACUUGAGGAAGGCCUGGCUUUUCAAGGCACCCAAUGAAGUUUCUCACAUCAGCUGAAGACACCCAUUACCUUGUGGAUAUUCAUGUUUGAGCCAGCCAAGCUCUUCCCUGAGCACAAUGGCAUUUCAAAACUCUGGGAUGCAUAAAAUCAGUGUGACUUGGCCCACGGGUUGGAUCAGAGAGCUCCAGAACAGCUCGUUUUGACAGUACCCGCACACAGGAAUUGAUUUACUGCUGCUAGAGCUUUGUUUUACUUCGCCUGUAGCAAACGUCAGAGCAGGAGCUGAUUUCUUGAGAGAUAGCCAGCUGUGGGGACUCAUUUUGCCUUUUUUCUCCUUGUGGGAGUUAACUCUUUCUGAUGUUGUUUCAAACAGUAUGUUGGUAUUGGAGCCAUACAAAGUAUCAAACAUCUGGUUAAAAAAAACUACACCAACAGAACACCCAGGGGAAAAAGAGGCCUGAUGGAGAUAAAUGUGAUUUAGUAACGUAAUAAAGCAAUGAAUCAUGCAAAAUAAGCGUCAUUACUUGGUUGAGAACAAUGAGAAAACCAGAAUAUGGAGCGUUCAGUGCUGGUUUACCUACUUCAUUCAACCUGGCUUAGGCAGGAACAGGAAAUUCCAGCUCAAUUCCUAACACCUUGUCUUGGAAAGGAC